rnacentral:rRNA from 1 species
GAUGAACGCUGGCGGCGUGCUUAACACAUGCAAGUCGAACGGAAAGGCCUCAGCUUGCUGGGGUGCUCGAGUGGCGAACGGGUGAGUAACACGUAGGUGAUCUGCCUUUCACUUCGGGAUAAGCUUGGGAAACUGGGUCUAAUACCGGAUAUUCACGGCACCGUGGUUGGUGUGGUGGAAAGCUUUUGCGGUGGGAGAUGAGCUUGCGGCCUAUCAGCUUGUUGGUGGGGUAAUGGCCUACCAAGGCGGCGACGGGUAGCCGGCCUGAGAGGGUGUGCGGCCACAUUGGGACUGAGAUACGGCCCAGACUCCUACGGGAGGCAGCAGUGGGGAAUUUUGCACAAUGGGCGGAAGCCUGAUGCAGCGACGCCGUGUGGGGGGUGAAGGCCUUCGGGUUGUAAACUCCUUUCGUCAGGGACGAAGUUUGUUUGACGGUACCUGGAGAAGAAGCACCGGCUAACUACGUG